ACUUUUUUUUUUACUAGACUCACAAUUUUAAAAACAAAUGGUUUUUUUUUUGUGUGAAAUAAACCUAGUAGGCGUAGUCUAUUUAUUUUAAAAUAAACCUUAUGCCUAGAUAUCUAUAUCUAAAUUUUCCAAAUGUAUUUUCAGAAGUUCGAAUGAGGAGAUGGAGAUGGCUGGGCCAUGUCCUACGCAUGAGCAAAAGAUGACUCCCCAACAUGGCACUGGAAAACGAAAGAGAGGAAGACCACUGGGAACAUGGAGGAGAUAGAUGGAAGAAGAAGUGCAAGCUGCUGGCAAGACCUGGCAUGAACUAAAGUGGCUCGCCCAAGACAGAGUGGAAUGGCAGGGAUUUGUUGCUGCCCUAUACUCCACAGGGAGUGAUGAGGAUUAAAGAAAGCAGACACAGAUCCAGUGUUGGAAGAGGAAGUAUUUUACAGAAAAGAAAAAAAACAACAGAUGUCAAAGCAGGUAUUGGCUGGUGCAGAAACAGCAUGAAAGGAUUUUUGUAUCUUUCCUGGACUGAUGACUUUCAUUCAACCUGAUCAUUUUUUUAUUUGCAUCAACUAAAACUUGUUAUAUAAAUCACUUUGUUGUACUCACACCUUAAACUUAAACCCAUUAUUACUUUUGUACUUUUCAUUGAUAAUUGAAAUUUAUAUAA